rnacentral:rRNA from 1 species
CCCAGGGUACUACGAGCGCUAGCUUAAAACCCAAAGGACUUGACGGUGCCUCAACCCCACCUAGAGGAGCCUGUUCUAGAACCGAUAAUCCUCGUUUAACCUCACCAUCCCUUGCUCCUUACCGCCUAUAUACCGCCGUCGCAAGCUUACCCUGUGAAGGUCCUAUAGUAAGCAAAAUGGGCACAGCCCAAAACGUCAGGUCGAGGUGUAGCUUACGAGAUGGAAAGAAAUGGGCUACAUUUUCUAUCAUAGAAUAUUACGAAUUACAUCGUGAAACCGAUGCUUAAAGGUGGAUUUAGUAGUNAAAA